UACGUAGGCAGCAAGCGUUGUUCGGAAUUACUGGGCGUAAAGAGUGUGUAGGCGGUGCUCUAAGUUCGGUGUGAAAUCUCCCGGCUUAACUGGGAGGGUGCGCCGGAAACUGGAGUGCUUGAGCGCGGGAGAGGAAAGCGGAAUUCCUGGUGUAGCGGUGAAAUGCGUAGAUAUCAGGAGGAACACCUGUGGUGUAGACGGCUUUCUGGACCGUAGCUGACGCUGAGGUUCGAAAGCUAAGGUAGCGAACAGG
rnacentral:rRNA from 1 species